AUUGAACGCUGGCGGCAUGCCUUACACAUGCAAGUCGAACGGUAACAGGUCUUCGGAUGCUGACGAGUGGCGAACGGGUGAGUAAUACAUCGGAACGUGCCCGAUCGUGGGGGAUAACGAAGCGAAAGCUUUGCUAAUACCGCAUAAGAUCUAUGGAUGAAAGCGGGGGACCGUAAGGCCUCGCGCGAUUGGAGCGGCCGAUGUCAGAUUAGGUAGUUGGGGGGGUAAAGGCUCACCAAGCAAACGAUCUGUAGCUGGUCUGAGAGGGCGACCAGCCACACUGGGACUGAGACACGGCCCAGACUCCUACGGGAGGCAGCAGUGGGGAAUUUUGGACAAUGGGCGCAAGCCUGAUCCAGAAUGCCGCGUGCAGGAAGAAGGCCUUCGGGUUGUAAACUGCUUUUGUACGGAACGAAAAGGCUCUGGAUAAUACCUGGGGCUCAUGGCGGUACCGUAAGAAUAAGCACCGGCUAACUACGUGCCAGCCGCCGCCGUAACAC
rnacentral:rRNA from 1 species